rnacentral:misc_RNA from 1 species
AACUUUUAGCAACGGAUCUCUUGGCUCUCGCAUCGAUGACGAACGCAGCGAAAUGCGAUAAGUAAUGUCAAUUGCAGAAUUCAGUGAAUCAUCGAAUCUUUGAACGCACCUUGCACCCUUUGGAAUUCCGAAGGGUAUGCUCGUUUGAGUGUCGUUGUACUCUCACACUCCUCUGAUCCUUUGGAUUCGGGGAGCGGUGGACUUGGGUGUUUGCUGCUUUCCUUGUGGCUCACCUCAAAUGCGUCAGUGCACCUCUUGGUUGGACAUAGUACGGCGUGAUAAGUGUCUUCGCCGGCACCUCGCAAGAGGGUCGCCGAUCGAGAGCUCUGUGCUUUCAAACCGUCUUCGGACACUUUCUGUCAACUUGACCUCAAAUCGAGUAGGACUACCCGCUGAACUUAAGCAUAUCAAUAAGCGGAGGCU